rnacentral:rRNA from 1 species
AUGAACGCUGGCGGCGUGCCUAAUACAUGCAAGUCGAGCGAACGGACGAGAAGCUUGCUUCUCUGAUGUUAGCGGCGGACGGGUGAGUAACACGUGGAUAACCUACCUAUAAGACUGGGAUAACUUCGGGAAACCGGUGCUAAUACCGGAUAAUAUUUUGAACCGCAUGGUUCAAAAGUGAAAGACGGUCUUGCUGUCACUUAUAGAUGGAUCCGCGCUGCAUUAGCUAGUUGGUAAGGUAACGGCUUACCAAGGCAACGAUGCAUAGCCGACCUGAGAGGGUGAUCGGCCACACUGGAACUGAGACACGGUCCAGACUCCUACGGGAGGCAGCAGUAGGGAAUCUUCCGCAAUGGGCGAAAGCCUGACGGAGCAACGCCGCGUGAGUGAUGAAGGUCUUCGGAUCGUAAAACUCUGUUAUUAGGGAAGAACAUAUGUGUAAGUAACUGUGCACAUCUUGACGGUACCUAAUCAGAAAGCCACGGCUAACUACGUG